GAGUUUGAUCCUGGCUCAGAACGAACGCUGGCGGCGUGGAUUAGGCAUGCAAGUCGGACGGUCCAGUACUUUCGAUAGGUUGAAUGAGUAGUAAUACUCAGGAAACUUUGAGAGGGUGCUGGAUAGUGGCAAACGGGUGAGUAACACGUGGGUAAUUUACCUCCAAAUCUGGGAUAAUUCGUCGAAAGGCGGACUAAUACCGGAUGUGGCUACGUAAACGCAUGUUUAUGUAGAGAAAGAUGGCGUACGUUUCGGCUGUCGUUUGGAGAUAAGUCCGCGGUCUAUUAGCUAGUUGGUGAGGUAAGAGCUCACCAAGGCGACGAUGGAUAGCUGGUCUGAGAGGAUGGUUAGCCACACUGGGACUGAGACACUGCCCAGACUCCUACGGGAGGCUGCAGUCGAGAAUCUUUUGCAAUGGGCGAAAGCCUGACAAAGCGACGCCGCGUGAGCGAUGAAGGCCUUCGGGUUGUAAAGCUCUGUCACGGGGGAUGAAAGGCACAGGGUUGAAUAGACUCUGUGUUUGACAGUACCCCGAGAGGAAGCCACGGCUAACUCCGUGCCAGCAGCCGCGGUAAUACGGAGGUGGCAAGCGUUGUUCGGAUUUAUUGGGUGUAAAGGGCAUGUAGGCGGUCGUAUAAGUCAGAUGUGAAAUCCCUUGGCUCAACCAAGGAACUGCCUCUGAAACUAUACGACUUGAGUACGGGAGAGGAGAGUGGAAUUCCCGGUGUAAGGGUGAAAUCUGUAGAUAUCGGGAGGAACACCAGUGGCGAAGGCGACUCUCUGGCCCGAAACUGACGCUGAAAUGCGAAAGCUAGGGUAGCGAACAGGAUUAGAUACCCUGGUAGUCCUAGCCGUAAACGAUGGGCACUAGGUGUAGGCUCUUUUUGGGUCUGUGCCGCAGUUAACGCGUUAAGUGCCCCACCUGGGGAGUACGACCGCAAGGUUGAAACUCAAAGGAAUUGACGGGGGCCCGCACAAGCGGUGGUGCAUGUGGUUUAAUUCGACGAUACGCGAAGAACCUUACCAGGGCUUGACAUGCUGGAAGUAGGAACCUGAAAGGGAGACCACCCGUUAAGUCGGGAGCCAGCACAGGUGUUGCAUGGCUGUCGUCAGCUCGUGUCGUGAGAUGUUGGGUUAAGUCCCGCAACGAGCGCAACCCUUGUCCUUAGUUGCCAGCAAGUAAGUUGGGCACUCUAAGGAGACUGCCAGUGAUAAACUGGAGGGAGGUGAGGACGACGUCAAGUCAGUACGGCCCUUACGCCCUGGGCUACACACGUGCAACAAUGGUCUGUACAAAGGGUAGCUAAGCCGCAAGGUGGAGCCAAUCCCUAAAGCAGGCCUCAAUUCGGAUUGGAGGCUGCAACUCGCCUCCAUGAAGUUGGAAUCGCUAGUAAUGGCGGAUCAGCUAUGCCGCCGUGAAUACGUUCCCGGGCCUUGUACACACCGCCCGUCAAGCGAUGAAAGUUGGUUAUACCCGAAGUCAUCAAUCCAACCCGUAAGGGAGGUAGGUGGCGAAGGUAAAACC
rnacentral:rRNA from 1 species